CCAAUAGCGUAUAUUAAAGUUGUUGCAGUUAAAAAGCUCGUAGUUGAAUUUCGGGAUCAAAUUGUCGGUCGUGCCUCGGUACGCACUGGCGUUAUUGGUUCCUACCUUCUGAAGAACCACGAUGUCAUUAAUUUGGUGUCGCGGGGAAUCAGGACUGUUACUUUGAAAAAAUUAGAGUGUUUAAAGCAGGCUCGCGCUUGAAUACAUUAGCAUGGAAUAAUGAAAUAGGACGUUUGAUUCUAUUUUGUUGGUUUCUAGGAUCGACGUAAUGAUUAAUAGGGAUAGUUGGGGGCAUUAGUAUUCAAUUGUCAGAGGUGAAAUUCUUGGAUUUAUUGAAGACUAACUACUGCGAAAGCAUUUGCCAAGGAUGUUUUCAUUAAUCAAGAACGAAAGUUAGGGGAUCGAAGACGAUCAGAUACCGUCGUAGUCUUAACCAUAAACUAUGCCGACUAGGGAUCGGAUGAUGUUAAUUUUUUAAUGACUCAUUCGGCGCCCUACG
rnacentral:rRNA from 1 species